UACGAAGGGAGCUAGCGUUGUUCGGAAUCACUGGGCGUAAAGCGCACGUAGGCGGGUUUGUCAGUCAGGGGUGAAAUCCCGGAGCUCGAACUCCGGAACUGCCCUUGAUACAGCAAGCCUUGAGUCGGAAGAGGUAGGUGGAAUUCCUAGUGUGAGAGGUGAAAUUCGUAGAUAUUAGGAAGAACACCAGUGGCGAAGGCGGCCUACUGGUCCGGCA
rnacentral:rRNA from 1 species